rnacentral:rRNA from 1 species
ACGGGAGGCAGCAGUAGGGAAUAUUGCACAAUGGGGGGAACCCUGAUGCAGCGACGCCGCGUGAGCGAUGAAGCAUUUCGGUGCGUAAAGCUCUAUCAGCAGGGAAGACAAUGACGGUACCUGACUAAGAAGCCCCGGCUAACUACGUGCCAGCAGCCGCGGUAAUACGUAGGGGGCAAGCGUUAUCCGGAUUUACUGGGUGUAAAGGGAGUGUAGGUGGCCUGGCAAGUCAGAUGUGAAAGCCCGCGGCUCAACCGCGGGACUGCAUUUGAAACUGUCAGGCUGGAGUGCAGGAGGGGAAAGCGGAAUUCCUAGUGUAGCGGUGAAAUGCGUAGAUAUUAGGAAGAACACCGGCGGCGAAGGCGGCUUUCUGGACUGUAACUGACACUGAGGCUCGAAAGCGUGGGGAGCAAACAGGAUUAGAUACCCUGGUA